GGCCACGUGACCGUGACACGCGAAACGCCCAGACAGAGCCGGCAGCUGGAAAUACUUCUCUUUGCGUGAGUCAAACAAGUAAGAAUAUGCAGGCAGAGUUGUUCGGCGUCCUACAGUUUGUGCGCUGAGGAAGAGGAGAGCUGAGCGGUCCUGCUGUGUAUCUAAUGCAGCUGUGUUCCACGGUAAGCUGGCCCCCUCGAUGGUCUCUCCCACCAUGAAAGCUGUGGUUGAUGCUGUCUGGGCUGUGUGGAGCAUCGGUGCUUCUAUCUAUGACUACCUGCACACCAGCGCCAUGGAGGAACGCAUUCACGCAUUGGAGAAUGUCAUCACCAUCCAUCAGUGUGUUAUCGGGGUGCUGAGUGCUGGCCUGGUCAUACUCGUCACCUACAUUUUCUUGAGGAAACAUUGACGUCCACUGGCAGUGAUGCAUGGGUACCAGGAGCAGCAGCACCCCAGAGCCAGCUCGGUGCCUCACAUGCAGAAUAAAUACUAAUCACAGCACCCCCUCAUUGUGUGUGCGCUACAUCUGCUGCCUUAAGCUGCUUUGUGCUGAGAAUGUUUCAAGAUUGAACAGCCAAACAAGAUGGUGAAACUCCUUUGCAUUAAAAAGUGUACAUUAGCUUAUGGCACUUGAGCUAAAAAGGUCAAGGAAAAGUUUGGACUGUGAAAAUGUUGGUGCUACUGGCCAGAUCUUCAAAGAUGGAGAUGAAGACUUUAAUGAAGUCAACAGAGGAUCUGCUUAGGUGUCUAAGGUACAUGAAGCCAUGUGUAUUAGUGUUUAACACAUAAUUUAGCAAAUGAUUUAUCUAUUUUUAAUGCACUUUACUGAUUAUUCAGUCAACUGGAUGCUUACUAAAUGAGAUCAUUAAACUACAAUGUCAACAACUCAGACCAACUUUCAUCUAGUACCAGAUCCAGCUCCCAAAAUGACCUUCAAACUGUUGUUCGGCUGACAAAAAGCUGAUUGGGCUCACUGGGAUCCCAAAAGCAUUGUCCAGGUGAUCGCCAUGGCAAUAGAAUCCCAAACAAGAGACUAUGGCACAUCUGGGUUUUGCUACUUUACAAAAUCAGAGUAUAUGAACUUUGACUCAUGCCAACAUGCGUCGGCUGUUCUCAACCCAAGGAAAAUCUAACCCUGGCCAAAGAACUUUUUAGUUAGAAAUCUACAUUGUUCAACUAAGGUAACAAAACUUAAUUUGUUCAUAGGACUGUAAUGUUUAUCAAUAAGUUUGACUGUAAAUUGUAUCCUGGAAGGGUAUAGGGUGUAGUUACAUGACGUUAUAUACACCUUUUUGAUCUUACUGUAAAGUAAUUUUAAGUGACCUUAAUUAAUAAUUACAUCAUUUUAAGAUCCAUUGUGUGACCAUAACUGAAUGAAAUGAUCGUGACAUUGGUUUAGCCUGUUGUACAGCUUUUGCGGAUGCUUGCUUGUUUUUAAAAGACAUUUGUAAUAAGCAGAAAUGGAGCCACGUCAUCGUUUAAUUGUAACUUUAGUAACAAGUAGCUGUAAUUAACUUUUUUAAUAGAGAUAAGGAACUAUUUUGUACUGAAAUGUUUGCCACUGUAUUUUAACCAUACGUUACGUAUGUUUUGUGACCACCUCUUUUUGAGGUUUUGUGUGUAUCGGUGAGUUUAGGAGAGAGCUACUGGCGCAGAAAGGCUUCCGUUAACUUAUUAAAAUUGCUCCUUCAUUACGUAUUUACUGUAAUUAAUUGAUUGAUUGGUUAAUUGUAUAAGUUUUGUCCCAGAAUAUGUAAUACAAAUAAUAUAUCUUAAAUAAACUGAAGUUGGGUGAAAAUUACAAUA